AUGGCGUCCCUCUCCCCCUCCCUCCACCUCCCUUGCAAUUCAAGAACUGGCUUCCUUGGGAAGUCACAAGGCAUACUUCUUCGUGUUAUCCCUGCUGGCAGAGUUGGUUUCAUUAGAAAAACAGUGGAAUGCAAGGAAUCUAGAAUCGGAAAGAAGCCGAUUGAAGUUCCAUCAAAUGUUACUCUAACACUAGAGGAGCAGUUUGUCAAAGCUAAGGGUCCACUGGGAGAGUUGUCAUUAAACUAUCCCACCGAAGUAAAAGUUGUGAAAGAAGAAACUGGCAAAUUGAGAGUAUUCAAGACUGUGGAAACCAAAAGGGCGAAUCAGAUGCAUGGCCUUUUCAGAACCCUGACGGACAACAUCAUCGUGGGGGUGUCAAAAGGAUUUGACAAGAGGCUUCAGUUAGUGGGGGUUGGGUACCGUGCGACGGUGGAGGGCAAAGACCUGGUGAUGAACCUGGGAUUCUCGCACCCUGUACGGAUGGCUGUCCCAGAAGGACUUCAAGUCAAGGUGGAGGAGAACACGAGAAUCAUCGUGAGUGGGUACGACAAGAGCGAAAUCGGUCAGUUUGCUGCCACCAUAAAGAAGUGGAGGCCUCCGGAGCCAUACAAGGGGAAGGGUAUCCGGUACCAGGACGAGAUUGUCAGGAGGAAGGAGGGCAAAGCUGGGAAGAAGAAAUAG
rnacentral:rRNA from 1 species